rnacentral:rRNA from 1 species
GGGCGCUGGAGAAUUGAGGGGGGCUGCUCCUAGUACGAGAGGACCGGAGUGGACGCAUCACUGGUGUUCGGGUUGUCAUGCCAAUGGCACUGCCCGGUAGCUAAAUGCGGAAGAGAUAAGUGCUGAAAGCAUCUAAGCACGAAACUUGCCCCGAGAUGAGUUCUCCCUGAGACUUUAAGUCUCCUGAAGGAACGUUGAAGACGACGACGUUGAUAGGCCGGGUGUGUAAGCGCAGCGAUGCGUUGAGCUAACCGGUACUAAUGAACCGUGAGGCUUAACCUUACAACGCCGAAG